CCAUCUAGUCGAAACUCAUGAUAGAGAGACUGAAUCACAUGUUAACUACAUCUAGAGGUUCAUUUCAAUUCUACUAGAUUACCACUACAUACUGCUAGGUGUCACUGGUGGAUUGUGAGAGCUCACUAGGAUUAUUUUAGAUCGACAAUCCUUGCCGAGUUAGAGUGGAAUUAUUCCGAUCCAUUGAAAAAAAUUUCAAUGAUAUAAUGAUAGAGAUCAUUAUAUAUCUCACUACCAGAUAAAAUUAAAUCUAUGGGGUCACACAACAAAGGAAUUAGGCUUGGAAUAAGAAAUUGAGCUUAUGAAGUGUCAAUUAGAUUUAGAGAAACCCAUUAGGUUCAUGGUAACCUUGCUAGCACAUGGUUGGACCUAAUUCCUCUUUUCGUUGGAAUUAUUUAUUUGAUAAGUUAAUUCUAACUUAAUUAUCUACUAAUUAUCUACAUGAAUAAGAUUCAUGAGACUUCAAUUGUUGGGUGUCUAAGGUUAUGGAUCAUAUAAAUUAAGGGUGCAAGUCCCUUAUGAAUCUUCUUGAUAGUUAUUAUGGGGUGCCACUUUGAAUUAUUCAAUUUGGGUGUGUCCAUUGAUUAGAGGGCCUUUAGUUCUCAUAUGGGAUGUCUCUUGGGUGCAAAAUAGGGUGUCUAAUUAUGAGUACAAGGGCUUCAAUAGUUGAUGCCUAAUGGGCUUCCUAAUGUAAGUUGGAUAACUUAAGUUAAUAAGAAUCCUAAUACAAGUAGGACUUGUAUUAUAUAAUUGAAUAAGAUUCAAUCUUUGUGCCUAUAAAAGAGGACCUCCCCUAAGAUCCUAAAAUCAUCCAAGCCAGCCCCUCUCCACCCCAAGAGAACCUCCCAUGCCCUCUCUUUCUCCUUUUUUCUCUUCUCCUUAGGCAUCCCCACGCCAUACUACUUGGGACGCACGUCCCAAGUUUUGCACACACCCAAGGCAUUGGGCGGCCCUUCAUCUGCUAGUUGUUGGUCUCUUAUAGUACUACAAGAUAAGGAGAAAGGUUAGAGAGGAAGAGAAGAUAAGAAUCAAAGAGAAAGAUCAAACGUUGAUCACAAUCCAAGCUUCGUUCAGAUUCAGCAAGCUGAAUUUUAGAGAAUCAAAAUUCAGAUCUUAGAGGACUGUUCCAAACUGAUCUUGAGUAGAUACUUAUAGAGGUUAGAUAUUUGUGUGGCUAACAGAAAGCCUCGUCUCUUCCAGAUCCAGAUUUUAAGAAAGAGAUUGCGAAAAAGGUAUGUAAUUUGAUCACAAUAUAAACUUCAGCAUAUAUCAAUUUCAGCAAAUGAAAUAGAUCC
rnacentral:lncRNA from 1 species